GUCUUACCUCUGCUGCCUCACAGUCCUGUGGGUGUUUCUGUAGUCGCUGAUUACUCGUUGACUUAUUUUUGCUUUUAAGACAUCUUAGUAUAACGACAAGCUCCUGGCAUGUACUAUUCUUAGGCAUUUCACAGGAGAAGUUGGAGCCUGGGUGGGUUUGGGGAGGCACCCCUAGUCUUGGCCGCUGCUCCGCCCUUCCAGGCCACAGUUUCCUGCACAUGCCUGUGCAGCUCAGUGGUCAUUCGCUGUGGAAAUAGCAGAAUUGCUCAUUUUCAAUGUCCGGCCCCAUCAACCUUCAAAAUAUUCCAUGGCGGGCCCUGUGCCUGGUCCUUGUGCAUGGCCUUGGAAGACAUGGCCAUGGAAUUAAAAAACAAAAAAGCUUUGACUAUCAGUUAG
rnacentral:lncRNA from 10 species